rnacentral:rRNA from 1 species
UUGCCUACGGGGGGCAGCAGUGGGGAAUAUUGCACAAUGGGGGAAACCCUGAUGCAGCGACGCCGCGUGAGUGAAGAAGUAUUGCGGUAUGUAAAGCUCUAUCAGCAGGGAAGAAAAAAGACGGUACCUGACUAAGAAGCCCCGGCUAACUAUGUGCCAGCAGCCGCGGUAAUACGUAGGGGGCAAGCGUUAUCCGGAUUUACUGGGUGUAAAGGGAGCGUAGGCGGCGAUGCAAGUCAGAAGUGAAAGCCCGGGGCUCAACUCCGGGGCUGCUUUUGAAACUGUAUGGCUAGAUUGCAGGAGAG